rnacentral:rRNA from 1 species
GACAGAGGGGGCAAGCGUUGCUCGGAAUCACUGGGCGUAAAGGGCGCGUAGGCGGGAUGGCAAGUCGGUCGUGAAAUCCUUCGGCUCAACCGAAGAACGUCGGCCGAUACUGCCGUUCUUGAGGGAUGCAGAGGAGAUUGGAAUUCCCGGUGUAGCGGUGAAAUGUGUAGAGAUCGGAAAGAACACCAACGGCGAAAGCACUCUGCUGGGCCGACACUGACACUGAGAGACGAAAGCUAGGGGAGCAAAUGGG